AGUCAUAUGCUUGUCUCAAAGAUUAAGCCAUGCAUGUCUAAGUACAAACUAUAUUAAAGUGAAACCGCGAAAGGCUCAUUAAAUCAGUUAUGGUUCCUUAGAUCGUACCACAAUUACUUGGAUAACUGUGGUAAUUCUAGAGCUAAUACAUGCAAACAGAGCUCUGACCGGAGACGGAAGGAGUGCUUUUAUUAUAUCAAAACCAAUCGGCGGCGGUAGCGUUUCGGCGUUAUCGUUCGUCGCUCAAUAUAUGGUGAAUCUGAAUAACUUUAUGCUGAUCGCAUGGUCUUGUACCGGCGACGCAUCUUUCAAAUGUCUGCCUUAUCAACUGUCGAUGGUAGGAUCUGCGCCUACCAUGGUUGUAACGGGUAACGGGGAAUCAGGGUUCGAUUCCGGAGAGGGAGCCUGAGAAACGGCUACCACAUCCAAGGAAGGCAGCAGGCGCGCAAAUUACCCACUCCCGGCACGGGGAGGUAGUGACGAAAAAUAACGAUACGGGACUCAUCCGAGGCCCCGUAAUCGGAAUGAGUACACUUUAAAUCCUUUAACGAGGACCAAUUGGAGGGCAAGUCUGGUGCCAGCAGCCGCGGUAAUUCCAGCUCCAAUAGCGUAU
rnacentral:rRNA from 1 species